AGAAGCCAGCAGGAGCCCGGGGGAGAGUUCUCUUUUCUUUGUGAAGGGCAGAGAGCCCUGGAAUGGGUUCGCCCUGAGAGAGGGGCUGGUGCCUUGGAAAGCGUCGGGGUUCCGGGUGGCGUCAGGUGAGCUCUCGCUAGCCCUUGAAAAU
rnacentral:ncRNA from 1 species